UGAAUACGAGAUGCUACGGCGUCGAAGCAGUCUAUGUCAUACUUCCAAGAAAAGCUUGCACUGUCAUAAACAAAUAAUGCCUGUACCAUAACCGACACAGGUGGGUAGGUAGAGUAUACUAAGGGGCGCGAGAUAACUCUCUCUAAGGAACUCGGCAAAAUGACUCCGUAACUUCGGGAGAAGGAGUGCCUUAUUUAUAAGGUUGCAAUAACAAGAUCCAAGCAACUGUUUACCAAAAACACAGGUCUCCGCUAAGUCGUAAGACGAUGUAUGGGGGCUGACGCCUGCCCAGUGCCAGAAGGUUAAAGAAGUUGGUUAGCAUCCGCGAAGCUGAUAACUGAAGCCCUGGUGAACGGCGGCCGUAACAAUAACGGUCCUAAGGUAGCGAAAUUCCUUGUCGGGUAAGUUCCGACCCGCACGAAAGGCGUAAUGAUUUGGAUACUGUCUCGGAGAGGGGCUCGGUGAAAUAGACUUGUCUGUGAAGAUGCGGACUACCUGCACCAGGACAGAAAGACCCUAUGAAGCUUUACUGUAACCUGAAAUUGAAAUUGGACUUUACUUGCGCAGUAUAGGUGGGAGGCGUUGAGAAUAUUCUUGCGGGAUUAUUGGAGCCAUCAGUGAGAUACCACUCUUGUAAUGUUAGAUUUCUAACUUUGUAUCAUUAUCUGGUCAAAGAACAGUUUCAGGCGGGCAGUUUGACUGGGGCGGUCGCCUCCUAAACGGUAACGGAGGCGCACAAAGGUUUCCUCUGAACGGGUAGAAAUCGUAUCUAGAGUGUAAAGGCAUAAGGAAGCUUGACUGUGAGACCUACAAGUCGAGCAGGGACGAAAGUCGGUCUUAGUGAUCUGACGGUGCUGAGUGGAAAGGCCGUCACUCAACGGAUAAAAGUUACUCUAAGGAUAACAGGCUGAUCUCCCCCAAGAGUUCACAUCGACGGGGAGGUUUGGCACCUCGAUGUCGGCUCAUCGCAUCCUGGGGCGGUAGUACGUCCCAAGGGUUGGGCUGUUCGCCCAUGAAAGCGGUACGCGAGCUGGGUUCAGAACGUCGUGAGACAGUUCGGUCCAUAUCCGGUGUAGGCGUUAGAAUAUUGAGAGGAGCCUUCUUUAGUACGAGAGGACCGAGAAGGACAUACCUCUGGUGUACCAGUUAUCGUGCCAACGGUAAACGCUGGGUAGCUAUGUGUGGAGUGGAUAACCGCUGAAAGCAUCUAAGUGGGAAGCCCACCUCAAGAUAGGUAUUCUCAUC
rnacentral:rRNA from 1 species